AAUAAAUAAAAUAAUGUACAAGUUUCAACAGAUAUAAUGAUAUGCUGUAAAGAUAAAACAUUCACUAACAAAAUGGUGAUGACCUUUGAACAGGUGUUCUUUACCAGGAAUGGAAAGACAAUAGGGAAGAAAGAAGUGUGUAUACCUAAAGGAGGAUUCUACCCCACUAUAGGAAUGUUGAGUAGUGAAGAGAAGGUGAAAGUGGAUCUCCAUCCCCUUACAGGGUGACAGAAGUGUACUUUAGAAACUGGUAUCUCUUCAACUUAGAAAAAAGAAAUGAAUUACAGAAACACGGCACUUGGCUGGUCACACUUUGCAUUUAAACUUGAUGAAAUUCCAAGAAAUGUGACGAAACUUUAGAUGCCACCACAAGCACUGUGUCUGUCCAUCAUCACACUUCAUGCAUGCAAAGUGGCCAGGCAGUGAUGUUAUUUUCCUUCAGCCAAUCACAGAACAGUUUAUAAUGUAAUAGCGUUGGUAUGAACUGUGUGUUACUAUUAAGAGAAAUUACAACAAGACCUAAGUAUCAGAACAAUAUUUUUAUUCAAUGUGAUGUUUUUCACAUUAUAAAAACAAAUAUUUGCAUAUUUUGUGGCAAAGUAUUAAUUUUAAUUGUGUGUAUUACAUAUUUGUUUUGAAAUUAUUAAACAAGCUAUCCAAGUGAAAAAUAAAAAUAAGGAUUUGAUUCGUGUAUAUUUUUUGUUUGUACUUAAUAUCCUUAUAAAUUUGGAAGUUAAAGCAAAACUUAGAAAAACUGGACACUAUAAAUAGAAAAAUUAGUAACAAAUUUAAAAUGUGUACAAAAAUAUACAUAUAUAUAUAUAUAUAUGGAAUUCUUAUUUUGGAUUACUCCUAGUUUGUAGUUUUGUCAGUUUUUGGCUUGCAUAUUUAAUUAGUCACAGUUUUACCAUUGUCAGUAAGAACAUUGAAGGGAUUAUGCAUGAAAGGCUUUCUUUGAUCUAAUGUACACAAGUUUUCAGUCUGAUAAAGGAUUUGGCAGGAAAAAUGACUUGGCAACAGAAAUCCAUAGGAAGCCUUGCAAGAAAACAUUAUUAUGGUAUUGAAUAUUUCUGAGUUAAAUGCUAUGAAGGAACUUGAAAUUUAUGUGAUCUUUGGGUCUUUUUUUUUUAAUUCAUUAAUGUUAUAUGAUAUAUUUUUGAAAUAGUACUUGUAGUUUUGUUAUGUAAUAUGUUUGCAUGGAUACAAAAUUCUAUUAAAUUGUGAUUAAGUCUUAAAAAUUAAGACAUAAUGAAAUGGAAUUAAGGUUUCAUAUAUCUCUAUAAAAGAAACUUAGUUGUAUAGUUUCUAUUUGGGUUGUGCUUAGGUCACAAAGGCAAGGUUUGAAAAUGUGGAAGCAUGAAGUAAACAUUUUAAAUAGUAGCAAUAAAAAAUCAUUCUUAGAUUUUGUUGUAAGAAGAAAAUGUUUGAGAAUUUUAAGUUUUAUAUUUUUCUACAGUUAAUGAUUUCAUGCUUCACUGUUUUAUUGGAUUUUUUUACCCAUAAUUCUUGCUCUUCUGGUUCAGGAUUAUAAUGUUGUAAUAUAUAUAUAUAGAUACCUUAAAAUUGUAUGAUAUUCAAGCAAGUUACUGUUUCUCUCCUGAGAUGUUGAACAUUUCUAUCACAUUUUAAAUCAUCCAUAAAAAAAUACUGGUCCAAGAAACAGUUUCAUAUGAAUCACACAUAAAAGUAAUGUCAGCCACUAACCCUAAAUAUGUAAACUCUAAACUGAUUGAUGAAAUGUGGGAAAGGACCUUUUAUGAUAGAAACUUAGUUCUGAUGGAAGGUAAAUUAUUAUAUGCUUUAAAAAGAGCUUGAGUUUACACAUAUCAAGAUGUGAUAUGUAUGAAGGAACUGAUUAAUUUGUUCGCAUGAUUAAACUUCGUAAGUUCAGAAUGUCUUCCUAAAAUUUGAAUGUUUCCCAAAAGAACACAGUUUAAUAUCCUGUUUCAAGUAUGAAUGUCAGAAAAUAGCAUCCACCUUUUAUAUUUGUUGGACAUAAAACUAUUUUAGUUUCUAAGAGUAUACUCUUAGAAACUAAAAUUAGCUUGCUUAUACUUGUCCUGAGUAAAUAAAAAACUUAGCUUAUUCUUCCUAUUUUGAAUGUUAGACUUCUUGUUAUGUGUAUUACUGGUUACUUUCAAUCGUUAGACUUCUUGUUGUGUGAGUGUGUAUUAUUGGUUACUUUCAAUCGUUAGACUUCUUGUUGUGUGAGUGUGUAUUAUUGGUUGCUUUCAAUUGUUAGAUGUUGUGUGUGUGUGUGUAUAUUAUUGGUUACUUUCACUCGUUAGACUUCUUGGUGUGUGUGUGUAUUAUUGGUUACUUUCACUCGUUAGACUUCUUGGUGUGUGUAUUACUGGUUACUUUCAAUCAUUAGACUUCUUGUUGUGUGAGUGUGUAUUAUUGGUUACUUUCACUCAUUAGACUUCUUGGUGUGUUAGUGUGUAUUAUUGGUUACCUUCACUCAUUAGACUUCUUGGUGUGUUAGUGUGUAUUAUUGGUUACUUUCAUUCGUUAAACUUCUUGGUGUGUGAAUGUGUAUUAUUGGUUACUUUCAUUACCUUGUAGAUAUGGUUUUGUAAUAUGAAUGUUUCCAACCAGAUGUUCCUAAUUAACAUUACUUGUGGCUGUUAAUUAAUGUUUUAUUUUUAAUGAGGUUUUGUGAAUCAAACUACCAAAAAUUACUAUGUCAAAAUUUUGAACUCGUGUUUUACCAUAAAUCUAAAAGUAUUAUUAUUGUAAAUUACAUACUUAUGAAAGCUUGUGGCACUUACCUAUACCUCCAUACCUAGUCAUUUUGACAGAGAGAAUGACAGUUGAAUAUCAAAAUUGGAGAAAUGGUUUUGAUUUCCUUUUUUUGUGUGUGACAACAAAACUAAACAAGAAAGAUAUUCGAGAAGUUGUCGUAAUUUUUUGACAUAAAUUACUAUUCUGUAUCAUUUCUUUAGCUUACAAGUAUUGUUAAAGUAUAUCACUGGUGGGAAGAUUUACUUGUAUAAACAGACGUACAUGUAUCUAUGCAUGAAAAUUGCUUUUAGUGAAAUUGUAUUUUGCAUGUUGUAUUGCAAACUGAUUGCCCUGUAAGCUGCACCAGUUCAGUCAUUCAAUCAUUUCACAUGUUACUUUCAUAUCCCUGUGUUUAGAAAUCAGUUGUUAUUUUUGGUGUUAAAGAGUAGUGAUAAUUAGUGUUGUCUGCACUGGUGAAAAGAUUUUGUUGAAAUUCCACAAUGUGAAGUGAUAGCUUCAGAAUAAAGAUUUUAAACUUAGAUAAAAGUAAAUAAAAACUUUGGGAAACAUUUUAUAAUAGAUUAAGAUGAGUUUUGUAUAUUAAUGUUUCCAAAGGUUGCUCUUUUCUACUCUUCAGUUACACACACUACCAGUGUUUAUAAUGUUUUUACAACAGUGGUUAUCUGUGAGCAGUAAGCAGUUUCCAAUGUGUGUGUGUGUGUAUGCUAGUAAAUUACAAGAAGUGUAAUGGAUGUUUUAAAAUAUGCAAGCACUAACCAUUAAUGAUCUGAAAUAUGACAAUAAAUAUAAACCUUUUUAUUUAAUUCUAGAUAAACAAUUAACCACUGUUGUAGCACCAGAUACGGAUAGUGUGUAAUCCUAUGAAGAUUGAAUUUUUUUGAGAUGCUGUUUCCCCUUCCUUACAAAAAUUAGAAUUUGUUUCUCAAAAAGGGUUUGGAAUAUUAAUCUCCAUUGCAUAGCUAUGGUAGGUCUAAAUCCUACAAAGUACUUAUGGACAAGGAUGUAGUUGUGUAUUUAGUUAUAUACAUAUGUGAGGUCUUAUUGUUAGAUAUGCUUUACACUUUUAUCAAUCUAUGUACAUCAAAAAACUGAAAAUUUAAAGCUGAUAAUGAAAUAGUUGAUGAAUUAAAUAAAAUAUAAACAGAAAAGGAGAACUUUUUGUAUUUGUGGAUAAAGAUCAAGAGGGUUAUUAAAUAAAGAUUUUAUAUAUGUUGUGUUA
rnacentral:lncRNA from 1 species